rnacentral:rRNA from 1 species
ACAGCAGUAGCCGCGGGAAUACGGAGGAUCCAAGCGUUAUCCGGAAUCAUUGGGUUUAAAGGGUCCGUAGGCGGUCUUGUAAGUCAGUGGUGAAAGCCCAUCGCUCAACGGUGGAACGGCCAUUGAUACUGCAGGACUUGAAUUAUUGGGAAGUAACUAGAAUAUGUAGUGUAGCGGUGAAAUGCUUAGAGAUUACAUGGAAUACCAAUUGCGAAGGCAGGUUACUACCAAUUGAUUGACGCUGAUGGACGAAAGCGUGGGUAGCGAACAGGAUUAGAUACCCCUGUAGUCCCUGUCUCUUAUAC